rnacentral:siRNA from 1 species
UAUUAGGAUGCCACAAAGCAU